rnacentral:rRNA from 1 species
UAGGGAAUCUUCCACAAUGGACGCAAGUCUGAUGGAGCAACGCCGCGUGAGUGAAGAAGGGUUUCGGCUCGUAAAGCUCUGUUGUUAGAGAAGAACACGAGUGAGAGUAACUGUUCAUACGUUGACGGUAUUUAACCAGAAAGUCACGGCUAACUACGUGUCAG